GAUGAACGCUGGCGGCGUGCCUAAUACAUGCAAGUCGAGCGAACAGACGAGGAGCUUGCUCCUCUGACGUUAGCGGCGGACGGGUGAGUAACACGUGGAUAACCUACCUAUAAGACUGGGAUAACUUCGGGAAACCGGAGCUAAUACCGGAUAAUAUGUUGAACCGCAUGGUUCAAUAGUGAAAGACGGUCUUUCUGUCACUUAUAGAUGGAUCCGCGCCGCAUUAGCUAGUUGGUAAGGUAACGGCUUACCAAGGCAACGAUGCGUAGCCGACCUGAGAGGGUGAUCGGCCACACUGGAACUGAGACACGGUCCAGACUCCUACGGGAGGCAGCAGUAGGGAAUCUUCCGCAAUGGGCGAAAGCCUGACGGAGCAACGCCGCGUGAGUGAUGAAGGUCUUCGGAUCGUAAAACUCUGUUAUUAGGGAAGAACAAAUGUGUAAGUAACUAUGCACGUCUUGACGGUACCUAAUCAGAAAGCCACGGCUAACUACGUG
rnacentral:rRNA from 1 species